rnacentral:lncRNA from 10 species
GUCCUCUGUAUUGCUGGCAGCAGAAAGGGCUUGAGGAUCAGCCAGAUGUCAUGAGUUAAAUGCAGAUCUGAAUCAUACCAAGCUGAGAUUGGGGUACACACUCUCCUCUACUGAAAAGUAGUGACGGAUUCCAACUUGGUGAGAGGGAGAGUGGGGCAGAACCAGACCAGACAAGGAGUGGUCACCUGGAAAAAGCCUGCCAUCAAAGGCCUUGGCUGGAGUUGCAAUCUCAGCUCACCACAACCUCUGCCUCCUGGAUUCAAGAAAUUCUCCUGCCUCAGCCUCCCAAGUAGCUGGGACUACAGGGGUGCGUCACCACACCCAGGUAAUUUUUGUACUUUAGUAGAGAUGGGGUUUCACCAUGUUGGCCAGGAUGGUCUUAAUCUCUUGACAUUGUGAUCUGCUGCCUUGGACUCCCAAAGUGCUGGGAUUACAGCCACCCCUCAGCCCACAUUUUAUAACUUUAAAGCAGUAUUAAUGGUAAUUGCCUUAGGGAAAGAUGCUUUUGUUGUGAUAUAUAA